rnacentral:rRNA from 1 species
GACGAACGCUGGCGGCGUGCCUAAUACAUGCAAGUCGAACGCUUCUUUUUCACCGAACUUCGGUUCAUCGAAAAAGAGGAGUGGCGAACGGGUGAGUAACACGUGGGUAACCUGCCCAUCAGAAGGGGAUAACACUUGGAAACAGGUGCUAAUACCGUAUAAUGCUUUUUCUCGCAUGAGAGCAAGCUGAAAGGCGCUUUUGCGUCACUGAUGGAUGGACCCGCGGUGCAUUAGCUGGUUGGUGAGGUAACGGCUCACCAAGGCCACGAUGCAUAGCCGACCUGAGAGGGUGAUCGGCCACACUGGGACUGAGACACGGCCCAGACUCCUACGGGAGGCAGCAGUAGGGAAUCUUCGGCAAUGGACGAAAGUCUGACCGAGCAACGCCGCGUGAGUGAAGAAGGUUUUCGGAUCGUAAAACUCUGUUGUUAGAGAAGAACAAGGAUGAGAGUAAAAUGUUCAUCCCUGAC